UAAUUUCAUCAAAUUCUGCUUUUUUUUCUGGUCGGAGCUUUCGCUCAUAAAAGUAGAUAAUUAUAGUCACACUACAUCCAUUUCCUCUUCAGAUCUUUAAAGAAUGUUAAUAUUAAGUAUGUCAUUUUAGUUACCAAAGUUUAGACCCGAAGUUCAAGUGUAUUAUUCAUCAUAGAAGAGCGCGUGUUAGAUACAAUUUUAUCACAUUUCUUUCAACAGGAUGUAUGGCUAUUAAGCUGUUAAUUCGUGUACUUUAUUAUUUAUUUCCUGAUAUUAAUCUAUAAAAACAAAUGUAAUGUGUCGAUUCCUGGCAAUGUUGUGCAAGGUUAAGUAAACAUGGAUAAUACAACGAAAACAGUGUCAUUUUUGGAUAGAAACAAUUAUAACUUUUCGCCUUAUAUAAAUACGGUACAGGUAACAGUGUUCGUUGCCGAGGUAAAACAGUGAUUAAGUGGGAAGAAUUGAAAAUAUUAGCAUUUUUGGACAGAAAUAUGUUAAUAAUAAUCGCGCUUCGCUUCCUUUAAAUACGGUACAAUAUCAACAUUUGUCACUGAAAAAAAAUGGGUAAAAAGAACCGAAAACAGUGCCGUAACCAGAAUGACAUGGAAGGCUCUACAGACGGAGAAAAACAUGUAAGGCGGACAGAUGGGGUUCCUCUUUGGCUGCCGCACGGAAGUUUUGCGCCUCGAUCAAGAACUAAGCGUAGCUGGAAAGAAAAAUGUAUGCAGCUGAGAGAAGGAUAUAAAAUUCUUGAAGAAAAGAUUGAAAAAUAUGAAGAUGAAAAUAAAAUUCUUGAAGAAAAGAUCGGAAAGUAUGAAGAUGAACUGGACCAAUUGAAACAGAUUUCUAGUGAACAUGCUGUUCGGUUAGUUGAGCUUGGUGCCAGUGACAAUGUGCAAAUUGGUGAUCAUAAUCUUUUACAAGUAAUCCACAACUUUGAUUCAACUUUUCUGAAAAAGCUUUUAGACCAAUAUGAAAACAAAAUCAAAGAGGAUACAGAGCAGCGAAACUCCAUGGAAGAUCAGAUACAUGUUUUGUCUUCUAGAAUAAAGGAGUUGACGGACACCCAUAAAAGAUGCAACGAACAAUUGCUGGAUUGUGGAAGACUGACGAGUCAUAUGCGAGAGUUGCACCAUUUAACAAAUUCUGAAACGGCAUGUCCAAUUGAUUCAAUAGUGAAAAUGUCUCAACAGGCAACAGAUCUCUUCAAAACUUUCACCCCUGAAAUAAUGCGACUUCAAGAUACAAUCAGAAGCUUAAGUGCAUACAUCGAUGAUCCAAAACUGGAUCUUCUUCUUUCAGUCUCAUCUCCAAACAGGUCCCUUUCAACCGUUUCCUUGGACGAAAAAAGAACAGCAAGAUUUGAUGACAAACAUAAGUGUAAAAGAAAUGCUAUUUCAGAACUUCAUUUAAACGUUCACGUUUAAGUUUCAUUUUAUACAGGAAUUAGAUUUGAAAACAAAGGUAUUGUUCUAUAUUUAAAAUUUGAUCUGACUGAUUUACAUAUUUUAUUGUAUGUUUUUGAACAUAUUACUGUUAUUACAAUGCACACGUUAAAUACGUCUGGUAUAUAGCUAAUACUGCGAAUAUUUUUUCACUUUAUAUCCUUUCAUUUUUAUUACUCUUUUGAUGUUGUACAAAAUUCUGUUUAGAACGUCUAGAUAUGAAUUCAUUGCAAAACUCUUUACCACCUUUAAAUUUAGGCAGUGAUAUCUUGAAACAAUAAUAUUAAAAAAUCAUCUAAGUUAGACCACAGCAGUAUUGCAGUGUGGUAUUUCUUUCCAUUAUAGUUAAUUCAAAUAAAGGAAAAUAUUUAAAAAUGACAUUUAAUAAACAUUUUACUACAUUGAACGUACUUUGUUAGAAACAUAAAUGUAGUUUCUAAUAUUUGUUGUACCUGACGCUAUUUAUUUGACGUCUGUUUGGCGUCUUCAGCCACGUGAUAAUUUGCGGCGUUCGUUGACGUCAACGUCAUACUUGUUUAUACUUCCGCCCAGACUUUGAAACGUUAACUGAACUGAACGUUAACUGUGGACAUUAAUUAUUCUGAUGAGACUUGAUGAGUAAGAGACCAAAUUCGAGAAUCGCUAUAUCUAGAGAAAUAAAAGAGUAAAGGCGCA
rnacentral:misc_RNA from 1 species